CAAUAGAAUAGCAAUAUGCUGAGCUUCUAGCCUAUGCUCUCCAGUUCUUUCACCUCCAUCUUACUUUCAGUCAAAGUCAAGCACCAUCUGUGGAUAGCAUUCUGUCCUGCUGUACCUGGAGGAAAGGCACCACAAAGCAGAGCUGGUUCCUGCUCUUGCCUGAGCUGUAUUUAAGGCAGUUGUGUGUACACAUGUGGGACACAACCACGGAGGAGCUGUGCUUCCUCAUUGGCAAAACCCAGCAGCAGUGUCACAGGAGAGUUUUGACAGGAGCAAAGUCUUUCUGUGUGUCAAGAUGGUGGGUAAAUCAAAGUGCUUGUUAAAACUUCUCUGAAACCUUUCCUGGAUGUUACUUGGUGUGAUUGCUUGGAUGCUCCUGCAGCUGCUUGCUUCACAGGGUGCAAUGCCUAGAUUUCUGGGGAGAUGCAAAUAGUUUUUCCUCAGUAGUACAUGGUGUGGUGGAGAUACUGAGGUCCUGCUGUGAGUGACCACUUCAGCCUCUCAGUGUUGGGCUGAGAAUAUACUGCUCACCUUGCCAUGGCCAGCUGCGGUCAGCACUCUGGAGCAUCAAACCUAAAUGCUUCCAAGGUGGAGAAAUGAAGCCCUCAGCUUUCAGUGCCUGCAAGGCUCUUGUCUGGAAUGUUUUCAUCGUGUUUUCACUCCUGCCUGCCUGCACUCCUCACCUGAGCUUCACCAGGACCUGUGUGCUCCAGGUACCAGGUACCACACCAUGCUGCAUCAGGAGCACUGCUCUGCAAGCACUUCCAUUUCUGGAGACAGUCACAGCAGCAUAUGGUUUGGGAAACAGAGCUUUUUUUAAACAAAUAACCACAUCCCUCCUCCAGCUGAGCUAUUGGAGCAGCCCAGCUAAACUCUGCUCCAUCUGCAUUAAGCGUGGGAGCUCUGCAACUGCACAAUAAGGAAUCUCUAAUGAUAAGAUACAUUAAAAAAGCAUAUUGGAGGUGAGAUCAAAAUAACUUGAAAUUGGAACACUCUAAAACUUGGCAGAGAAUCUGCUUAGAAAGUUUAUGUGGCAGGGAGGAGUGUGAUUCCUCAAAUGCUGAGGAUUAAAUUUCCAAAAUUACGGCAGGGCUAUGCAGUAACAGCUCCAUAAUAUUUUGAUUCAGAAGGAAGCAAAUAAGGUACUGCAGGAUGUUGCUGCAGUAGCACACUCCUUGACAACAUCUUCUUUAAAGAAAAAAGGAUGCUUAAAGAUAUGUAGGGGCAGAAUUUGAUGUACGUUUCCUAGAACUUCUUCCCUUGGUACCAUUUUCCACCUGAAUCUAUCCAACAACAAUCUAUGUUAACGGAAACCCACCUGUAGCCAAGCAGAAAAUCUCCUGUUUAAAACUGUGAGAGCCAGCAGUGGUUUCUUUGGGAUCUAACCAGUCUGACAUGCUUUUCUCCCUCGCUUUCAUAAGAUUUCUCUAUGCCUCAUUUCUGGUCAACUCCAUUAAUUCAGCAUGCACCUUUCCCUGCCCUCGGUUCUCGAACAGUGAUGUGCAGUGGUCUCUAAAUGUUAGCAGAGAACGACCUGGUUUUUAAGGCUCCGUUUCUGACACUUGUGGUGUUCAGGACAUUUGAGGCUGGGGUUUAAGAUGCAGCCAUAACAGGAAUCCAGGAACUGUUCUUGCUUUGCAGGCUAGCUAGUCCUUGAAGUCAGGUUGCUGGGUUCAAGUAGCACUCUCUGUUCCUCAGCAAUGCUGAAAUUCAGAACAGGGUUAUAUUCCUGACCCCUUCAUUAUACAAUUUGUAAAAUCAGACAUAAUGACAGAUAUUUUGUGAUACUUUGUAUCUGGCAUCUGGUCCUCCCACAGACUCUGGUAACUUAAUGUAACUCCAUAGCUUUGCCAUAUUUUUCUCCCUAUGUGUUCACAUUGCCAAAUGUUAUAUGUCACCAGUUAGCAAGUAAA